UAGAUUUUACAGAAUGUUAUUUUCGAACUGUGCACUAUGAGACGCAGCUAACAUGGUGGUUUGCUGCUGCUACAUUACAAUUUCACUGAAUCCAUAUGAAAUCGCAAUAUUUAAUACUAUUAUAAACACGACAGCUGCACUUAAACACUGCUGGCUCUCUUUGGCAAUAUUGCCGGUUUCCAUUUUAGACCAGAUCAUGGUGAAGCGAUUAAAAGUUGUUCGUAACGGAAGGAUGUACGGGGAGCAUGACAUGGCUGUACGAAGGAAAAGUGGUCCCAACAGUUUACUAUGGGACGACGUGUGCCCAGCGGAUUAUUAAUUAUUAUUAAUACCUCACUUGCUCUGCAUAUUUCUGUUUCAAACAUUUUGCCACUUAUUGAAGGACCUUACUAGUAUCAUUCUUACUAGCUAAUCUUUUAAACAGUUUUGUCUUUCUACAUACAAAGGUGAGUCGAAAUUUUGUAAUUUUCUUUUCUGUGAUCUUUUACUUUUAUUGAAGUUACUUCAAAGUCUAUUUAUUACCAAGAAGCGAAAUAUUAACAUCGGUGGACAUUCUUAAUAUAAUGAAAAUUUAGAAUGGCUAAUUAGUGUUCUCUGGGUUCGAACUGUAAAUAUAUGUGACCGUUUGACAUACUUAACGUAAAGGCGUGUACAUGUUUAUAUUGUUCUGUAACUCUGAACAGUUUUUAAAAAUCAGCUAUUUCUUCCUCUAACCCGUAAUCAUACUAUCAGUCUCUUACUGUGCUACAGAUAAGAUAUUUCAUUUUCCGAAAGAGCAUCACGCCACUUCAGUACACAUUCCAAAUCUGGUACUGAAACUAUCUGCAGUUGUCGAGUUGUUGACAUAGACAUUUAUUCGUAACUGUUUUCGAACAAUUCCUCUUUUAGGACCUUUAUUCUCCUUUUCAUACAGUCUAUUUAUGAUCAUACUACGGAUCAUGCUUAUAAAGUAACUUCGUUAACCUCUCCAGUACUGUUACCGUGAUUGUAUUUUCGUUUACAUCCAUUCAAUUCACAAUUUGUAUUAUACUCAUCUUAUCAAUGCACCCACCUUUAUGUGUUACUAAUUUCGUAAACCUAAACCUCAUUAACUUUAAUUUAAUAUUACUUAGUAUUUUAUCCCUUUAUCAUUAACUUGUUUUUGCUAACUGAAACGAUAUGCUUAAUCCAUUCUGUCAAAGUUUUACCGUUUCUUUUUUCCUUUCAAGCCGAGCGCUUGAUUAUAAAACUAAUAAACGAAAAAGUAUUUUUAUUUUGUAACUUCUGUCUUCGCAAAUUUUUCAAAAAUUUUGUGCGAUUAGUAAGUUACAAGUCGUUGAUAUAUUUUCUUGAAGCCUACCAGGCCGAUGUUUUCAUGUGUAAUGAAGUUAGGUAUUCAAAACAAAGUAGCAGUUAUUAAUUAAUACGCUGUUUUGUAAUGUAAUGCAUGCCUGCAUUAGAUCAACACUGCUCUUAAUUCGAAUUACCAUUGUUGAUUUUCAAGCUUGUUCUUAUGUACGAAUAAUCAUGAUGGAAUAUAUUUUCAUUCAAUAUGAAAUAAAUCUCCCCUCCCUCCAUCAAAAAAAAAAAGAAAAAAAAAAUUCUCUCGAAACUUUCGGGAAAUGUGUUAUGAGUUUUCUACUUUGUUGUCUUCAGGCAAGCCUCAUAAAUGCAAGCAAAAAAUAUUAUUUUUGUAUAGCAGAAUUGAAAUAAUUAUGAAUAAAUGCCUUUCUCAGAAUUGUAAAUAGUUCUGUAAAAACAAACAAAUAUUAAUUUCAAAUUGAAAGCAGUUGGUUUACCAAGAGAUGAAUUAUUAAUGAUCUUUUAUUCAAUUUCAUUUUUAGUUAUAAGCAGGCAUUCGGCGUGCCUAGGUGUUCUUCACCAGUUUUGUCAAUAAUUCUAAUAUUGAUGUAUAUUGAGAAAACGCAAUUAAUUUUAUCUUUUAAUUCUAUAUGAUUUACUAUUAACAUGAGGUCAGGCUGACCCGAAAGCUUCAGUUACAACUGCAAUAAAAUAUAGGCCCUUAUUGUUUUAUUAUUGUUAGGAAGUGAAAAUUAAUGAUACUCAUGUGGUUUAGUUGACAGAAAAAUCUAUUGUUAUCUGCUGCUUUUAUAUUCAUCUCAUUCAUAAGGGCUUAAAUGUAGUGGAUAAUUUCUAGUCAACGAAAUUUCUGUAGAUUCCUAAAUAAUUGUAAUUAAGUCCUAGAAAUUGUUAUUGUUUUUUUUUUUGUUUUUUUUAAGCAGGUGUUGGGAAGCAUGGUUUUCAAAUACAAAGGAUUGUUUCUUGUUGCAGUUAGGCACCAUUUUUCUCUUCCUCUCACAUGUUUUUGAAUUUAGCGUGUUCGAGUAUUGUUUAACUUUUGUAGAGAUGGAAGUUUGUUUUGAAUUCAGAGUGGCCUAAAAAAUCUGUUGACUGAGCUAAAUAAAAAAAGGGUCUUAGUGAUUCUAUUUAUAUACCUCACCUAGUCAUGUGCUGAAUAUAGAAACACUAGACAUCUAGUUUUGAAUGUUAAUAUUUCAGAUGUACUACACUAGCAGCAGAGACCAAUAAAAUGGAGUAAAAAUCUUGUAAAUUUGGCUGAAUCAGCUGACAUCAUAUAAUGAUAUCAUAGUUUAGUUGUGUGUUUUUCUGUUUCCAGGUGGCAUAGUUCUAGAAAUGAAGCUUCAUAUAUGGCCAAGUUGUUAUAAUGGAUAACCAACUGUAGGCAUGGUGAUUUCGUAUCCUAUUACAGAUGUAUAGUAUCCAUAACCAAGACACUUAGCACUCAGUAGCCUAAUUUAACUAUCUAUAAGUAGGUACCAAAAGGUAGUAUAAUUAGCCGAUGUGACAGUACUGUACUGUACUGCUGAUGAGUGUUUCAUUGGCUUCUAAUGUCAAAAGGGUGUUGAGUACUACAAAUCUAAUUUACAAAUUUGUUUCGUAUGCUUAAAUGUGCCAUAGUUUCUGCCCCUCAAACAUGAAAAUGCAAAAGUUUUAUUAUUAUUACUUUUUGGGUUAGCAAUGGAAAGCAGCAGUGUAAAUAACUCUUCAAAUGCGAAACGUAAACAGUGGGAUCAAUUAUUUUUGUUAAUGUUUAUCAACUGCGCUAUGAAUUGACAGUGUUUCUUUCGUAUAGGUAGACUGAGGCAAAUAUGUUUUUGUUUUGAGGCAUAAUACAAUACAAACAAAAAUUUCCUCUGAUGACCUUGUGUGUGGUCAGUGAUUGACUUUAACUUUCACUUUUUGAGAAUAUUUGUUGCCGGCAUAAAUUACAUGGUCUCGGGUUUAAUCCCACUUUGUAGUCCCUUGAGAAAGUGUCUGCUAAUAUAAUUUUGUGUCAACCCUAGUCUUGUGAGUGGAAUUUACUUGACAGAAACUGUGCAAAAGUAACAUCAGCUCGUACCUGCUCUCUGAUGGUAAACCUGAUCUAUCUUCCUGUUGAACCGUUUCUGCCUGACCAUGGACGCCUUCUGUAGAAACCACUCUUUUGGAAGCAUUGGGCCAGGUUUCCUGCCUGAAAAUAACUUACAAACUCACAGUGCUGCUUUCCUUUGCUAAUUGAACAAUAAAAGAAAAAUGUCUUUUGUUAGAAUCACUUUUUGGGGGAAUGUAUUAUCAGCGAUCUUUGGUGCUGAGGUAGUAUUGACAGACAGUCAGGUAUGGUAAUGGUUGGAGGUUAGACAAUAUAUACACACACAUGCAUGUAUGUGUGUGUGUACAUAUAUAUAUAUAUAUAUAUAUAUAUAUAUAUAUAUAUAUAUGCACGUACAUAUAUACACGCAAAUGUGUGUGUAUAUAUAUAUACAUGUCUUUGUAUUAUUAUAUAUGUAUUGCAUAUGAUGGAUAAAAGAUUGUCAUAAACUUUAGGAAGACUUGGAAGGAAUUAUGCAGAUCAGAUGUUUGACAUCAUUGAUACGAUUAGCAAAGAUUGAGACAUCAUCAUGGAUACUGGGCCAUAGACUUAACUGAUACCACAUUGGAAAACUAGACAUUAAAAUAUUUUACUACCUUUCUCUAUUGCUGAGGUUUGGAUAUAUCAUCUUAGUUUGCUGUCAUCAUUUAGUUUAUAGUCAACUUGUCAUAUAAAUCAGCUCAUUUCAGUUAGUAGGCCAAAUUUCCAUUAGUUUUUUUCUGUUUUUUUUUCAAUUCCAAUUACCAUGAAUUUCUAGCUUUAAGUAGCUUACAUAUUCUUUCCAAGUGACCAUACUACCUAUGUGAUGUGAGUAUUUUUAUAUAAAAUUCUCUCAUAUAUCAUUUAGGUUUAAGUGUGAGAAAGGUCUAGGUAAGUGAUCAGACUCUUGAAAAACAGCUUCAACUUCAAUUUGCAGAUGGGAAUUAAUUUUCUUAGUUCAAUGUUAUUUUGAAAACUUGAGUCAAGAUUAUAUUACAAUUUCCUGCUUAAAUUAAUUUGCUUUCUGUUUUCAAGAAAUCCAUGAGAAAAUUGUUAAUUUUACUUACUGUUUAGUUUAUUGUGUUUCAGGUUUAUUCAGUCUUGAAUUUUCCUUUUAUAUCUUGGUAUACCUGUAAAGUUUACCAAUAUAGUAGUGGUGGGGGCAUGUGCUGUAACAGUGUGUUGCUGCAUCCACCAUUUGUUGGUAAUUCCCUACACUUUUGCACCAUGGAGGUGACAAUCCUUCAACCCAUAGGGCAUUGUAGGUGAGGGUUUUACAAGGUUGGAGUACAAAUCCUACCUCAAACUCUUUUAGUCGACUUUUAUGAUAUGCAUAGGAAACAUUGGAUUUAUUCUUUGAUAUGCCAGUCACUACACAGCACUAGAGCUAAACAAUGUGUUUUGCACAUGAACACAACAUGCUGGGAAUCAAUCUGGUGAUCAUAAGUGCAAUACCCUAACUACUAGGCCUGUGCCAAUAUAAUCAAUAGAUUAUUUCCAAAUAGCAGGAGUAUAUUUUAUGUUUGAAAGGUUUUAUUUUGACUUUGGUAAUGUACUUUUCACUGUAAACCAAGUACAAUAAUUUUUUUGUUAAAAUUUAUGUAAAAUUCUACAUGAUUAUAGAAACCAUUAUCAACAUAUGUAACUAACCAAAUGGUUGUUAUUAAUAUGAAGCGCUGUAAUUGGAUUUUUAACUCUUCCGUAUUGUUAUAUUUGGGAAUGGCCAUUUUUCCCCCCGCUAAUUAACCACAUGCACUAUAUAUUCAUUCUUCACUUCAGCCUUAUUAUUAUUAUUAUUAUUUUAGUGUUCUUUGUCUGAAAUCUUUUGUUACACAUCUUGUGACCUCUUCACCAUCUCUCCAUCCCACAUGUCUCCUCCUGUUCUGUUUUGGUAGUGUCUUUUAGCUGUUUUCAUGUCAUGUAGUUCAUUGAAAUUUUCUUGUUGAAAACACUAGGAUUAGUGAAUAUAGUGGCUGGAUUUCUAUGUUUAUUGUACAUUUGCAGAUUAAAUAUGAAAUUAGGGAAGAAAAUACACUAUUUUCAAUUAUAGCAAUGGUAAUUUUAUGAGAUAUGUGGCAAUUAAUUCUUCAUCCAUAUUGAAGAAAGGAGAAACUGUCCUUGGGAUAUCUAAGCAUAAAGGAUACCAUGAGAUAUUAAUCUGCAAAUACUAUAUCUAACAAUCUCAGGUAUCCUCAGGUCAAUAAUUCAAUGUCAGUAUGGCUACUUGACAUUGGUCAGUGUGGUUUAAAAUAAUAUCCACAUUACUCUCAAACUACAUAUACUACUAUCUUAAAUAAGGAAAGGAUACAUUGGAUAAUAUGGCUCUUGAUAGUUUGAAAAAUAAGAAAGCUAGAAAAUAAUUUUUGUCAGUGAUUAACUCUUUACAUAAUACCUGACACUAAAAUUUAAUUCGCACAUCUGAAACUGGUGGUGCACUAAUCAUAAAUACAUACAUUAUAUACUACAUCAUCCUAGGAUAGUUUAAGUAUCUAUACUAACCAUCUGCCUGAAACCACUCAUCUAUCAUGGAGCUGUAUUCUCACCCUGUCAUAUUCGUUUUGCUUUAGUAGAAUUGGGUGGAAUAUGUUCAUAAAUUGCUUUUGUCUUGUGCUUACUUCAUGAGAUGUUUUGAGCUUUCAUGACAAGCAUGAUGUACAUACCACCAGUGUUUUCUUGAACCUCCUUCAUAGACUAAGUUUUGACUCUAUAAAGAAGAAUGUUCUCUACAUAUGCCUUCGAGAAGGCCACCCUUGUUGACUUUGGAAUAUUUGAUUAUCAGAUGUUUUGAAAUUUGUUACAGACACUUCAGGCUUGUUUCUUGUAUAUCAGGAAAUCUUUUUUACUGCCAGCAACAUAGGAUCCUAGGUACUUGAUAUUGCUGACCUCCUUGAGUUGAGUGCCAUUGUUGGAACAAAUUAGCAGGUGGCUUUCAGGUGGUUUAACAGUCCAUCUUAAUCUCAACAGUUAUUGUGCUUCAGUUUAACUUGCUAAGGUAACACAAGAUUAAGAGGAGUAACAAUAUAUACUAUAAUGCAAAUUCUUUCAACCCAUGCCAGCAAAGAAAAGAGAAUGGUAAGACAGUGAUUAUGGUGAUGUAAUUAACAAGAUUGAAGUGAAGCAGUCACUUUACUAUGGAUACUAGAAUACACAUAUCUUUUUUUUUGUUUGAAAGGUUCUAUUUGUUUUGCCUGUGUAUGUUUUGUCUAUGUGGCUUUUGUUAUAGAAAUAUUAUCUCAUAAUUUUCUAAAAUACAACUGCACCAAAUAACAUAACUAUUUUUAAUUGAACAUUUCUGGUUUUCAGUUUUAAAAUAGAAUCAUAUAAUGUUAUUUUUGUGUUUAAAUUGUCUCUUGUGUCCAUAAUAAAACUAUCUAGAGAAUGCUUUUAAAUUACAUUAUGUAAGUUUGUAAUAAUCAUUGUUAUAAACAUCAUUACAAUUAUUUUAUUAACCUUAUAACUAUUUUUAACUCAACAAUAUUUCUGGAGUUCAGAAUGAAGUCAUGUAUUUUUAUGUUUAAGUUGCCCUUCUUAUAUCCAUGGUAAACUGAUUAAAGGUAUAUUCUGAUGUUGAAAUAUAAAUAUAUAAUUUCACUGCUUCUUGUGUGUCUUGACUCUGAUUUCAAUAGAUAAAAUUUGCAGACUUCUGUAUUUUAUGAAGCCUGUUAAUCCCCAUCUGAAAUUUACAGAUAGCUUUUUUUUUCUUUCUUUCUAAAAGAAUACAAUAACAUUUCAUAAAUAAAUUGUGACCUUAGUUUGAUUAUAUUCAUAGGAGAGGACAGUAGAUUGGGAGAUUUGGUAGAGGGCACAUAGAUAAAAGGCCCUGGAGCUUUUACAGAGUUCCCUCUUCAAAUUUGUCAUUGUCAACUUCAAAUUCAUCAUCAGCCUCAAUUUCAUUAUUUUCAGUGUUGAUUAUGUUGUUGACUUUUGAUUUUAUUAUCAACAACUUAAUUGUCAUUACUGUAGAUGGAAGUUUUUUCUUAUAAAUGGGUUGAUAUCAGUGAUUACUUGUCACAGAAUUGUAAAAGAGUGUAAAAAUUAAAAAGUUUUGUAAAGAAUUAAAAGUUCUGUAUAAUAAAAAUACUUGCAUGUUACAUUAUCACAUAUAUGCAUAUAUUUAAUGCAUUAGAUGUAAACUACCUGUAUAGUUUUUCCAUACAUUAUCUUGUGAUGCAGUUUGACACAUCAUCACUGAUGUUUCCUGGGGUCAUUAUGUGUUUCAAGUCUUUGAAAAUUGGAUACUCUCACCCAGGUGGCCCAGCCAAGGUUGAUUAAAUCCCAGUCCAUACCCAAUUAGCAUUGUUCCUUUCACAGCCUUCACCUCUUGAUUCACAGCUACCUUAAAGCAACCUCUACUGUCUCCACAGGCCUUGAUGGCCUUCUGCCUACUUGUUCCGGUGAUGCACAGCAUGUUGUAAGCUUUCUGCAGAGAGGACUAACCUGCCAACCUCUGCAUCUCGCCUCAAUAGGAUCAUUUUUGCUUGCCACCCAUUGUUCUGGCAUAGUUCCACCAGCCCAAAUAUUUCCUUCUUUUACUCUUAUUUGCCUCCCCAGUGUGAUCCUCACAGAGAAAAGAAAGUUCUAAUAGAACCACCUGCUUGGAUGCUUUUGAGAUCAGCAUCCUAUCCAGUCUUAGUGAUGUUGAAGCAACAGUUCUAUGAACUAUAGUUGCUUGCUCAGGUUGACCAUUCAGCUCCCAAUCUUUUGCUGUUGCAUGUUGGCCCAGAGAGGCAAACCUGACAGCUAGCAUCUUCACACCAGCCUUGACAAAGGUGAUAAUCUUCUUUGUAGAACAGAGGUGCUUGCUAUGGCUAAAUUCACUUUGGAUGGUGUUGGCUAUGGCGGCUAUGACUAUCAAAAUCUGAUCAUGUUUCCAGCAAUAAUGUCCCUUUCCCAGGGCUUUUGGCCAACUACUGAGGAUAUGCUCCAGGGUUCCUCUCUUCAGACACUGUGGGAAAGCUGGUAACUCCAACUUUCCCCUGCUGAGCAAGUUGGAUAGACUAGGUAAGGUAUCAUAAACUGCCUAAAUUAGAGUUUCUAUUUGGUGUUCUGAUCUCCAAAGGUCAUACUUUGCAUGCUACCACUUUGUUCCAUCUUAGCAAGGAGUCCUGGUGCCUCAUCUCAGCUUCUGUUGGUUUGUUCCUCCUCAGUCAAUACUUGCACCUCAUUCCUGUCCUUUCCUUUCACCUUGUCAUCAUGAGAUGUUGUAUUACUACUCAAGCCAGCCCUUCCAUAAGGUAUAAUGCCCAAGAGCACUCUGUAUCUUACCCAUGACUUCAUCUUGAUAGCCCCACUCCUGCUCUCCACUUCUGUUCUGUUCUCACUUCAGUGAUAGCCUGAGAGUCUUUAGGGUCACAGGAGUCUUGGUAUUGUAACAUUUCCUUAGCAUGGGUCACCACUAAUUCUUCUCUCAGGUUGCUGAUGGGGAGCUUCAACUUAUCAUUUUCCAUACAGAGUGGUACCAACACGACAAAGACCAAAUAUAUAACAUCAUUUUAACCUUUUACUCAUUAUUCUCAUUUCUUAACUCUCUUGACAUAUUCCCUUUUUAGGAAUAUGUUAAGAGAGCUAAGAAAUGGGAAUAAUGAAUAAGAAGGUAAAUUGAUAUUUGCUUUUGUUGUGUUGUACAUGAUUUUUUUACAAACAACUUGUGGAUGCAAGAGCUACUAGUUGAAAGCUCUACAUAUUGGAUGCUAGCAAGCUUAUGGGGUCAUUAAGAGAGAAUAUGUGCUGUUUCAGGAUGCAGUAUAGUAAUGUAAUUUUAUACCUAAUACACUAACUAUAUGUAUAUUUAUGGUAAAGUAAGGUGUGACAAUUUUUAUUAUACAAAAUUUGUAAUAGUUUACAAAACUUUUUACUGUUUAUACUCUUUUAUAAUUCUUUAACAAGUAAUCACUGAUAUCAAUACCUGUUUAUAAAAAUAAAAAUUACUCUGCCCUACGCUGAUGACAUUUAAAUUGAAGUUGAAAAUGACAAAAUCAAGAUAGAUGACAACAUAAUUGAGGCUGAAGAUAAUGAAAAUGAUGCUGACAACGAUGAAUUUGAUAUUGAUAUAACUGAGGUUGAUAACGAUGAAUUUGAGGAGGAAAACCUGUAGUUAAGUUUGUAUGCUUUGAAUUCAAAUCCUCUAUGGACUGACUUAGCCUUUCAUCCUUCCAUGAUUGAUAAAAAAAAUUAUUGAAGCCCUGGAAUUGAUAUAAUCAACUGUCUACUCCCCACCCCCGCCCACAAUUUAAAUAGAAAAAAUUGUGGCCUUGUGCCCAUGUUAAGGAAUCAUUAUUAUAAUCAUAGAAGUAUAAGCAUUCAGAAAGAUAUAGGAAAUUGAUCUUUUAAAUGAAAUCAAUUUUGCAUUAUUUUAUAAGAGUGCUUUUACUUUACCAUUUGACUUCAUGUUUCCUAAACUUUUCUUAUUCUCAUUUACUUCUGAGAAACUUUUAUUCAUUUUAUUUAUUUUGUGCACUUACAACAUUAACAUUUUAUUUUUUCAUGUAUAAGUUUUUUUUAAAAUUUUGAAUUCAGUAUAAGUGAAAAAUAGCAUGUAAUUAUUUUUUCCCCAAGAUCAGAAAAUAAAUUCUGUUCUGUUUCAUUUUUCACCUAGUGUAGUUUAUAUAACGAGAUGUUGCAGUACCAUUAAAACUAUUUUGGCAACAGGAAUUGGUUCAAUUUCUAACUAAUAAGCCAAUUUAUUUUCUUUUAAGAAACUAAUAAUUUUUGUUCACUUCACCAAUUUUUGACUAAAUGAAAUAUAAAGGUUUUCAUUAAAGGAAUUUUCAUCCAUGAGAUUUUUAUUUCUCUGUGUUGCAUUUAUUUUUAUACACUAGUUUUGAGUGAAUGGUGGAUGGUUUUGAAAAUGUUGAUACUUGCAUAUUUUAGCUGGAUGCUUUUUGCAUUGCUAACUACUGGACUGAAAAAUUUAGGGCUUAUUUAUUAGUUUGAUUGAGGUAAAGGAGAUUGUUAAACCUUGCAUAAACACAGGCAAUAUUAACUAAGCAAAAUUAGUUUUGAAUAAAAAAGAUUAUUUAGUCUUUCAGAGAUUAGAUGAUGCCUCAUAUUCCAUCAAAUAUAGAUACCAUUUAAGAAUGUUAGCCUUUCUUUACUUUUCUUUUCAUGUUUGAUUACAAUUUUUUAAAUUUCUCUUUCAUUCAACACUUUAACCUUUUAGCAUUCAGAUUACUCUGUCAAGUGUAACAUUGUUUUGAAUUAAUUAUGCACUUUUUCAUAGCUUUAAGAUUUUGAUGAUGUGAUUGUUUACUUUUAGGAUUGCAUUGUAGGGUAGGUGUGAGAGCUCAGAACUAGCCAGUUUGAACAUAAAACAGGUUGAAUAAUUGGGCCAGAUAAGGUCAACUUUAAUGCUAAAGGGUUAAACACCUUCUCAUGCAUACAGGUGGCAUGUAGAAAUUAGACGGUUGUCAGUAAUCUGAAAUGCAGUACAUUUUCAAUUGAAUUUGUGACAUACCUAAUCAGAUAUAGAAUAAGAAAGGAAAAAUAUUGCAUAUGGUAAAAGCAUAUUUUCAACUUUUAACUGCUGUUGAAAUAUUAUGAUACAAUUCACUGUAUUUUGAACAAGAUAUAUAGUCAUUGAUACUAUAUUUCUUAGUGCUUUAGAAAUUAUAGGUUGUAAUUAGAAAUGCACUUGGCUUGUCAAGGUUGUGAAGAAUUUAUAUCAACAUAUUUUGUAAUUGAUGUCUUAACCAUACUCUCAAUUAUCAAGGCACAAUUCACGAAUUGCUUUCUUCAUUAUUACUGUGAUUGGUUCCUAAACAAUUUCAUUUUUCUACACCAACUAGUGACACAUUGUAAAUUUUAGUUGUCUCUCAUCAUUACUUUGGCAAGGAUUCACUGAUGAGAUUAUAAUAAGGCCAAAAUAUGCCUAGAUUUGUUUCUCAUACUUGAUAAAAUAAUUAAUUUAAUAUCAGUCAUUGACUAAUAUUGUUUUUUCAUAACCAUAAGUAUUUCUGGUUAGCUUCUUAAUGUUCACUGCAUUAAAUAUGUUAGCAUUAACUUAACUAUUAAUUUUAGAACUAUAUGAAUAAUUUAGGAGUCAGAGACAUUGUUUGGUAUUAAAGGUACAAAACUUUUUAGGCAGAACUGCAAAUUGUGACACAUAGGUAUAAAUUGUAAAAAAACAAGUUUAAUGCUCAAUAUAAUCUUUUUAUGAUGUUUUUUGCACUUCUGCAUUCACUGCCAUUUGAUGGUCUCUUUCUAGUUGUCUUGAAUCAGAGUAAUGUACUUCACUCUUUGUGUUAGUAGUUAAAUCCAUACCAAAUAGUAAAACAAUAGAAUCCUAGGCAAAUAUAUGUUCUGCAUCAGCAAAAAGUAUUUGUUUUAUUGCUUCAGUACAAAAAUAUAAAUGAAAAAAUGGAAAGGGUAGAUGUGAAGUGGGAGAGAGUUCUGUUUGAUUAAAAUUAGUAAGACCAAGGUAGGUCAAAUUGAUAUAUUCAAAAACAAGUUAAGGGGAUGCUGAAAAGGGAAUAGGUAGAUGUUGGUAUGUUGAGGUCAAUGGAAAGCAAUGUUAGUUGAAUUGGUGCAUGCUCAAACAUGACAAGGAUGGAAGAGAAACAUGUAGGCACAUAUUCCCUGAAUCAUUGUUCAUACAUUACAAUUUUCACAAAAAGCAGAAUUCCAUGAUCAGAAUUUCCAUUGUGGGGAGGUGUCUGUAUGAUAUCAUCAUUGUUGUAAUAUCUCCUUUUCCAUGCUUGUAUGGACCAGAUGAGAAUGCUGGAAUAGAUAUUUCUGUAACAAGUUCCCCUUCUUAUUGGCAAACCCCACUUUGUUUAGAUCUAGCUCAUCAUCUUUUCUAUCUGUUAGUGUUCUAUUUAUAGUGUAUAGUAAAGAUUAAACAAAAGGAAGAUAAAGACUUUAAAAUGCAGCAUAUUUGCUAUUGCUUGCUGCACAAAUUUCAGAAAGCAAUAGGAAUCAUUUGCAAUGUAUAUCCUGAUGUAGUAAAGGCUUGUAAAUGCUAACUGUAGUUUCAAAAAUUGUGAUUAUGAAUUUUCUGAUAAGUCUUCUUCUAGGAAAUGAACCACUUUGGAGAACUACAUUUUGAGGAAAUGGCUGAAGCAGAUUCUCAUGAAAACACCAGAGCUUUGGUUUAGAAGUUGAAUGUGUCACAUUCAACUGUCAGCAAACAUCUCACACAAGUUAGCAAAAACUACAAAGAGUGGAUUUGGCUUUCUCAUGAGCUUUCAUAUGAAAACUAAAUUCAAUGUCCAUUAUCUGCAUAAGUCAGUUGGCUAGAAAUAAUACUCUGUCAUUCCUGCAUCACAUUGUUAAGGUGAAGUAAAAUGGGUACAGAAUGUCAACUGCAAAAAAAUAAAAACACUAGAGGAAUUUAGUACUAACAGCAAAAUCAGUAAGCCAUCCACAGAAGUCCUUGAUAUGCAUUAGGUGGAGUGGAAUAGGAAUAGAGAUGUAUAUUAUAUGGUACUGAAACAAAGAAACCUGUUUAUAGCCAGAAAUUAGAUAAUAUAAAUGAAUCAUCAAAAGGUACCAGCUUUGAAUAAACAGAAAAAUUGAUAUUCUCCAGUAUGACAAAUGUUCACUCUGCAAAGCAAAUCCAUGACAAGAUAAGAUUGUUGGAAUAAGAAGUUUUCCAUACAUCUCAUAUUCACCAGGUUUAGCACCAACAGACUAUCAAUUGUUUCAGUCACUAGAGCAUUUCAUAGAAGCAGAACAUUCAGAAACAAAGAAGAUAUUGAAACCAGUAUUUUAAUCCUUUUUCAGAAAAAGUACAGAACUUUUUAAAUGAAGAAAAAAAGAAUUUACCUUCCUUGUUGGGUUGCAGCCAUUGAUAAUGAUGGAGAUUAUAUUAUUGAUAAAAUAAACUUAACUGGCAUUUCUCUUACAUAGAAUGCUGUGUCAUGGAUGCCUGAUCCCAUGUAGUGUGUCUUAGUUCUGAUUCUGAGAUAGAACUGCUUGUGCUUGUUAACUUUAAGAAAACAAUGAAGACCUUGUGUUCAUGUAAUUAUUAUCAUUUAAAAUUUCUGUGUUUUACUGUUGUGUGUUAGCUCUGAGUAGACCAAUACCAUGAAGAUAGCAAUUCUGGAGUAUAAGUUAGAUUUCAUUAAUCUGACUGUAUUCUAUCCAUGGUCAUUAUGAUUGUUGAUAUGUUGUAUUAAGAUGUAGGUUUUAAAAUGUGACUUGUUUUAAAUACAGUUUGUUUAGGCAGAUUUUACUUUUAUACUGAGUAGGUCAAAGGAGUUCAUACAAAGUUCUCUUGGUUUGAAAACUUUACCAUAUUGUGGUGAUUGUUGGUAAAGAGCCAGUAAAUAAUUCCCAUAUUUAAUGAAAAUAAUGUAAUGACAAAAACUAUAUUUAAAUAUACAAGUUAUAAUUUGAUUAAAUUAGAGUUUUAUAUAGAUUUAAUUUUUUUGUUUUAAUUACCAGUAGCUUUGUGUACGUUGAAGUGUUUCAGUAUGUACCCACUUUUUAAUUGAAAUGUGAUAAUCUAAGAGACUGCUCCAGUUCAUAUACAAAGGCUAUUGUUCUCUAACUCAAGCAAAUGAAUUGAUAUUGAAGCCAAUAAAGUAGUAGUCGAAAUACCUUCAGAGUUCUAUGUUGACAUUUAAGGCAUUUGUUUUGUAUGUAAAUAUUGGCAUUGUAUAUGAAGUAUUAGAAGUUUCACUUAUGUCAGUUGGAGUAGACCUUCAAUAUAAUGUAUAUAAAUAACAACAACAAAAGUACGAUUUGUUGUCUAAUAUAUCAUUUACACAAGGAGAUGCUGAGAAUAAACCAGUUACACAACUACUGAGUUUAUUUUCAGAGGAGACAAUUUCAUAAAUCUGGACUGAGAUGGGUUAAUUGAUAUCAGAAUGAUACAAGUUUUAGUUCCAUCCGGAACCUUAUAGCAUAGUCUGCUUGCUGACCAGUUUGUGAUUGUAUGGACUGGCACUUUGGGAGAAUGAGCUGAGAUGGUUUGAGAUAGUUAUGAAUGCUCUUCUGUUACCAUAUUUCCGCUGAAAUAUACUUCUUUUCCUUUCAGAUUAUUUUGAAAAUAAUGAAGAAUUUAGCAAAUUAACUUUUGUUCUUUAGCUGGUCUUUGGUGUAAUUUAACAUGAAAUUUUAAUGGAAAGUAUAAAUUGAGAUCACUUUAAAACAGGGAAUUUGUAUCAUAGAACUAGGGGAGGUCUAGGGUGGGUUGAUAUGAAAUGGGUUAAGAUAUAUUAGAAGUUUUCAACUGAAUGUUUUUUGUAUUUUAAAGUUAAUUAAUGUUAGUUUUGUGUAUGACUGGGUUUGAUGAGGAGGCAUUUGUAACAGCUUGAAUAUUUACUUAUGACCUGAAUGGGCUUCACCAGACCAUGAAUUGUGCUUCUCUCACAGUCAUCAAUUUUGCUAUAUGAUGUAUAGAGACCUAACAAUAAAGGGAGAAUUGGUAAUGUUUGUGGUUUAUAGUGUCAGGUUUCAGAAUUGUUGGAGUUUUAUUAAGAUUAUGGACUUGAUAUAUUGUUUGUAAAGUAAUGUUUUCUAUCUUUUGCCAAAUAUUGUUCUUGUAAGUUGUUUAAUUUAAAAUUUUUCUUUUUUCAUUUUCUUUCUUUCUUUUUUGCUGUUUGAUAAAAUAAACUUGUGAUGAUCUAAUGUGGCCAUUGUUUUGUAUUCUCUCUUACUAAUUCUUUCCUAAUCCUGAGUGGUUAUGGAGGCUUGCUAGACCAUUCUUUCUAUUUUAUUUAUCUUCUUCUUUGUUAUGUACAUCAGAGUGUAUUGUAUGUAAAGUUGUCUAGUUUUCAUUAGUUUAAUUAGUUAAGUUGUGAAGUUGGUAUGUAAAAAUCUGGUGAUGAAACUUAAUAUUCUUUGAUGUGUGUCUUUUGUAUAUGUUUCAAGUUGUACAUUAUUAUCCAAUGACCAGAUAAUCCUUUCAGUUUUUUUUUAGUUUCUUCUGUAUGUCUCCUUAGAUUAGAUCGAAUAUAUUUUCAGUUAGAUCUAUUAUUAUGUGGAAAAAUAUAAUAGCACAAAGGAUAGAGGAGGGAUGGAAAGUGUUAUAGCCUUUGCAGAUUCUCUAGACUGAGGAAAUUGAUGUGGUUUAGUUUGAACAUCUGUUGAUCAAUAUCUGUAGGAAAAGACAUUGGUGAUGAAAGAAUUUCAGAAGAGUUGCAUUUCUAGUGGGGAAAUAAGUCAAGUGCAGGAUGGAUCUGGGUGUAAAAUGCAGUAAAGAUGAAGGAAGAUCUGGGGUUAAGAUACAGUGAAAAUGAAAGAUGAAAGGAAGAAAGAUAGGUAUGUUAGAUGGACUUUCAAGGAUAUUGCAUGCAGAUAGUUAGUUCAGAGGAACAGAGGCUAUUGUCGGGGUAAUAGAAGAGGUUGGUAGCAGAAACAGUACAUCAGUGAGUUUUUGGUUGUAGUGUGUUGGUGAGUGAAUUUUUGCCAAUUGGCUGAAUGGCCUUCUUUUGGAUAAACUUGUGUUUUUAAUUGCCAUAUUUGAACUUUGUAGAGGGUCAGUAAUUGAUUAUGGCUGAAAUAUUUUCUGCUCUUGAAGAGGAGUCUUAGUCCUUAUGAUGUAGCUUUAGCAAUGUUAUAUGUGUAUGGUUCACCUAGAGAUAUCAGUCAUUUAUGGUCUAGUAACAUUGAAGGUUUUAGUUGUGUAUUGUUCAUGUGUUGGGAAACAGUUAAAUGUAUUUGAUUCAGAUUCUUGCUUAAUUAGCCACUCAUUAUUCAUUCUUAAUUUGCAUUUACUAAGUACCACUGAAUUUAAUUCUUUAUAUUACUUAUUUUUUACAAUAGUAGAGUCAACUGAAUCUUAAAUUCCAUCUAUUGUGUGAGAAGAGUAUUUAAUCAUGCACAUGAUUUUUUAGUUAAUUUAGUGUUUUAUCUCCAAGGCUUUCUGUAUCUCUGUCUCUCUUCUGUGUCUUUAAUUUACCUGUAAGCGAGGAAGAAUUUAGUCUAUUAUCCAGGGUACUGUACCAGUUAUUGGAUAUAGUCUCGCAACUCUAGGUUAGAGACACUGUUUAUUUAUGCAUACCCUAAUGAAUUCUGAAUGUAAUUGCUAUCAGAUUCAGAAUUUCUAGUCAUCUAUUUUCCUUGAUUUAAUAACUUUUAAAGAAACAGGACUAAAUGUCAUUCAUAAAAGUCCACUCUAUAAGGUGGUUGAUGUUAGGAAGGGCAUCCAGCUGUAAAAACCAUGCCAAAACAGACAGUGAAGCUUGGCGCAAUCUUCUGCUUAGCUAGCUCCUUCCAAACCAUCUAGCCCAUGGAAAACAAACUUUGUUGAUGAUGAUGCUAAUCUACUAUUGCUGCUGCUACUACUACUACUACUACUACUACUGCCACCACCACCAUCACUACCACCACCACCACUACUACAUAUAUAUAUGUGUGUGUGCAUAUAUAUGUAUGUAUGCUAUAUUCUUUGCUUUUUUCUUUUUGUUUUUUGGAAGUGGUAAUCAUAGUAAGGCAUGGGACAAAAAAAAGUUGAGAAACACUGCUCUAUACCAAACUACAAGCAUUUAUUCCAAACAUGAAUCUAUUCUGAAAAGCUCUCUCUAUUCCUUAAAAGUUCAGAAGACCUUGUAAUGACUUUUUUAAUUGGAGCUAGAAGAGUAUUUAAAGUUUCUUGUUAAUUAUAACACAUAAUAGUUCAUUGUAAGCAGAAGACAUAUGUUCUCUUCUGGUACUGAAUAUAGUGGGGAUACUGUCAUCAUUAGUUUCAUCAUUCUGUAAGAAAUAUUUUGCUGAAAAAUCAUUUCAGGUGUUAAAGGAACUACUACUAUGAAAAAUAUACUUUCAUAGCAAGCAAAAAAGUGUUAAGUUUAUUACUAAAUAUUUUACUUUCAUGUUGAUAAUAUUUACUGUUUAUUCAAUUUGAAACUGUAUUUCUGCUUUGAUGUUUAAAUUCUUUUAGUAUUUCUCUUUUAACAAUUCUUUUUCUUGGUUGUUCUUUUUUGUAUCAAGAAAAAUUACAUUUUAGUCACAUACAAGUAUGUAAAAUUAAAAGUUCAUUACACAGAAGAAGGAUUUAAUUUCUCUUAUAAUGUGAACUCUUUUUAUAUAUUCAAUAUGAAAUUAUUAACUAUAUAAAGUACAUCUUCUGUAAGAAUAACGUAGUAGACUUCUGAUCAUGUAGUUAUUAUUUCAGUUAUUACUAUAGCCAUUGUAUUGUACCGCUGGACAAGGCUUGUAACUCUGCUUAUCUCAAUUUUUCUACUUUAUGGUUGAAUGGUUCUGGCUGGAAGAUUAUUGAACCAUUAAAAAAAAUUCAACAAAAUCCAUACUAACAUGUAAAAAUGAAUAUAAAAGAAUAUUAAUCUCAUUUUCUUUUAUUUUAUAUUUUUAUUACCAUUAUAUUGAUCCUGAAAGAAUGAGCCUACAAUGGGACUCUUAUGUAUUUGCAUGACCUGUUAGAAAUAACAACCAAAUAUUCCUCAAAUUGUACUCUAUCAUCUUGAAAGAAGGUAAUACAAUUAAUAUUGAGUAAUGUUUCUGGCUGGAAUGAUUUUGCUCACAAGUCUGUAGAUUAGAGCCAGCUUUUAUUAUCAUCUUUGUCACCUGUUAGUAGACAAUAAAUGGAGGAAAAGAAAUGAAAAAAAAAACUAUGUAUUUGAAACAAAUAAAGUGGAGAAAUGAAUAUGCAUGUGGAGAUAAUUUUUUUAUCAACUUAUGCAGUAGCUAAACCUCUCAAAUCUUAAGUGUGAAAAUGCAUUCAAAUUGCCAUGUAAGAAGAUCUCUGGAGAUCACUGUUAGUGGUAGGCUUAAUGCAUUGGCUACUUUAGCAUAUCCACUUGAUCUUUUGCUCUCUUUAGCAGAAUUCGCUCUGUUGCAAGCUUUCAAGCAUACUGCCAUUUUUUUUCCAGCAGACAUUAACUUGCAGAUGUCAGGCUGGGCAUCAGCUGCAUCAGGCUUACCAGUCAUGGAAGGCCUAUGAAGGUCGCAGUCAAUGCCUUUUCUCCUUGACCAGUAGAAAUACAACAAACAGUUUAUCAUAUCACAAUGAAUAUAUGGAAGGUCAAAAUUAAAUAAACAAAGGUUUUUGUUAUGUGUAAUUUGAAUAUUAUUAAUGAAAAAUGUUAUAAUUUAUACUGUUGCAAUCAUAUUUUGAAAUCAUAAUUAUUUAGAAUUAUAUGAUGUUUAAAAUUAUUUUAGAAUCUAAGUUUUUAAAAGUUUGGAUAUACUAGAUUAUAUUACAGUAUUUCCAAAAUUCUUCAUGUUCUAAGUUUAUUCCUGGUGCAAAAUAGCAGUUAGUCUUUGAUUUUAAAAUUUGAUAUUUCUGUGUUAGGGAGAAUUUCAUUUUAAAUUUAAUUUUUUAGAAUCUAAGCCACAAAGUUUCCAAACCAAGGACAUUGAUUUUUUAAAAAGAAUUCUUAGAUUAUAAUUGUGAUUUCAGUCAAUUAAAUAUACCUCUCUGGCAUUACAAAAAGAAAUGGCAGUAUCCCUGCACGACCACCGCUUCUGGUUGAACCAACGAAAGUAAGUUGUAACUUGGCAGACAUUUCUGAGUCAUGCAAGUGUGAUGAAACAUACUGAGUAUCAGAAAGUUCCUAUUGUCAUUAUUUAAACAACAGAUAACGUUGAUUAUAUUGACAACAUGGAAUUGUGUCAGAGUUUAUGGCAUAUCAACACAAGAAUAGAUAGAAAUAAAGCUACAGCUAUAGAAAUCUCUUCCUACAGUGUUCUUCACAAGUUGUUGACACGUUUUAUUGCAUUUUCAUCUCAAACCAAUUUUUAUUUUCCUUACAUAAUUAUAAUGUUCGAAAUUUUCAAAAUUUUUAAUUCGAACCAUUUCUUUGUCUUUUGCUUGCUAUCAUAUGUUAUCUUAUCAUCUUUUCACAUAUUAAAAUAACACAUAACUAGUUGGUUUGAAUAAACUGUACAGUUGCUAUUGAAGUCAAGUUUUGCUUAAAAUAUUGUCUUCUUAUUUAUCUCUUUAUGCUGGAUUUAUGUUUCCCUUAAAAUGACUCACUCUGUAAUUUACAGCAUCAAUAUGAAUAUUCAGUAAUUCUGGGAAACUGUUCACAGGAUGGUUAGCUGAUGAUGUUAGUUACAUCUCAUUUUUUAAUGGUAGUAGUUCUAAUACAAAGUGAAAGUUGACUUGCAUUAUUAUUAAACAGAAAGUGAAACUGAAGGCAAGCUAUUAGCAUAUCUUAAUGGAUAAAGAUGUAGAUAUUUUAACAGCAGUUGCAUAUGAUUCAGUCAUAUACUCAAAAGCUACACAUAAGACCAACUCCACCCUACCAACAGUUAUCAUUUUCAUAGGCUGACACACUAUUUACGAUUUAGGUUUCCUAGAAACAAUAGCUCCCAUUUUGUACAGAAUUUUGUCAUUGAAUAUUAUUUAAAACAGACAGCUUUCAAUCGAUAUCAUGUCAUUUGCUGUUGUUGAUCAGACAAGUUACACACAGGAGUAACACAGUGUGCUCUAUACAAUUAGAUUUAACGUCUUGUGAGUAUUUUUAUUUAUUAUUAUUCAUUAUUAUUAUUAUUAUUAUUAAAGUGGCGAGCUGGCAAAAUCGUUAGCAUGCUGGGCAAAAUGCUUAGUAGCAUUUUGUCCAUCUUCAUAUUCUGAGUUCAAAUUCUGCUGAGGUUGACUUUGCCUUUCAUCCUUUCGGAGUUGAUAAAUCAAGUACCACUUACAUACUGGGGUUGAUCAAAUUGACUGGGCCCCUUCCCCAAAAUUUCAGGCCUUGUGCCAAAAGUUGGAAGGAUUAUUAUUAUUGUUGUUGUUGUUGUUAUCAUUGUUACUAUUAGCAUUGUUAAAAGAGAAAUGAAUUAUAGUUGUUACUUUUUCAUUGAGAUAUAAUCAGUUCUGUUUUUAUUCUCAUAUUUGAAUGCAUAAAUAAAAGGAAUUAGAAUUUGGGUUCUUUCUGCUCGAGUAUCUUUUCAUAAAUCAAGUUUGGAUGAAACGUACUAUUCAAAUAUAAUUGUGAGCUUAAAAGCUGCUUUGAUGUCUUGUCCUGUAAUUUGGAACUUGGUUCCUUUGUUGGUGGAAUUUGUUGAUUCAGCUAUAUAUUGAUGGUUGUAAAUGAUGAAUACUACUAGUGUAGCAAAGAUGUCAUUGUUAUUUGUAAUGAGCUAUUUAAAAUAACAUCAGGAAUUAAUGGUUUGCAUUUUGCAUUUAAACCAAAUGAAAACCCAGUAUAAUCAAGCAUCAAAUCUAUCAUUCUUCUAUCUCAGCCUUUUAUUUCUUCAUCUUCAAAAUAAUCUUUACUUGAAAAUAUAAUGUUCUUUAAAUAACACAGUCACUGUGAAUGGAACCCAUUCAACACCAUCACCUAUGACCAGCAGUGUUCCUCAGGGUACAGUACUCGGCCCAAUCCUGUUUCUCAUCCUCAUCUCUGACAUAGAUGAAGAUACAACCAGCAACGUCUCAUCCUUUGCUGAUGACACCAGGGUCAUGAGACAAAUCAAAGACGAGGUGGAUACAGAAGCCUUACAAAAGGACCUGACCACCAUAUAUAAAUGGCAGGAAACAAACAACAUGUUGUUCAAUGAUAAGAAGUUUGAACUAAUUCGCUACGGAACAGAUCAAGAUCUGAAAAAUACAACAAACUACAGAAACCCAUCAGGACAACAAAUGAUGGAAAAACAGUAUGUGAAAGAUUUAGGCAUCCACAUGGGAACCAGCCUAAAAUUCAGAGAACACCUUGACUCAGUCUGUCUUACUGCAAGAAAGUACAGCGGGUGGAUCUUGCGCACCUUCAAAUCAAGAGAUACCUCAACAAUGAAAACCCUCUGGAACAGUAUGAUACUUCCGAGGAUUGACUACAGUUCUCAGUUGUGGUCACCAACAACAAAGGGCCAACUAUCUAAGAUGGAAUCGCUCCAAAGAAAUUUUACCUCAUACUUCUCAGAAACGAGGGACCUGAACUAUUGGCAAAGACUCAAAACCUUGAGGAUGUACUCAAUAGAAAGAAGAUUUGAGCAAUACCGAAUUAUAUACAUUUGGAAAAUGAUAGAGCAAAAGGUGCCAAACUUUGGUAUCAAAACCUACCACUUGCUGUGCCACGGAAGACGCUGCCAGCUACCACCAAUCAACAAAAAGGCUGGCCAGGCAGCAAAAACCCUGCGAGAAUCAAGUCUGUUGGUUCGAGGAGCACAACUAUUCAACUCCAUUCCGGUACAUGUCAGAAAUCUAUCAGGAUACAGUGUGGAAUCAUUCAAAUUGCAGCUGGAUAGAUACUUAAGCACCAUUAGAGAUAAACCCCAUCUCCCAGGAUAUACACAACGAGCACAAACUGACUCAAACUCGCUCCUACACAUGUCAAAAUUAAACAGAGAACCACACCAGACUCUGAGGGUGGAGUCUUCGACUUGGCCUGAGCAUGGACUCAAACUCAAAUGAAAUGAAAUGAAAUGAACACAGAAAGUACAAAUUAUUACAUUACAAUAGAGUAUUUUCAAUUUCUCCUUUUAACUAUGAGUGCUUAGUGUUUGCAUUUUAGAUUAUGUAGUUUUAUUUUUACAUAUUGUGGUAUAAUCUUAUCACAACUAGAUCAUUUUGUGGAAAAUAGCCCUAUAUAUAUGAUUUCUUUGAUUAAAACUGAAGACAUUUUCUCAUCUAGUUGUCAGAAAAUGUCAGAAUUUAUCCAACUUCUUUGUCAAGUUGAAUAAUAUAAUCAAAUGUUAUUAUUGUUAUGGAUUUAUAAUAUUUUAAAUCACAUUAGCUAGAGUUGAAGUUUUUAAACUGAAUUCUUUAUGUCUGUCUAGUUUUGUCUCUAGCUGAGCAUUUAAUAAUAAAUGAUGAUGAUAAUCAUCAAUAAAAUGAAACUGAAAGAAAUUUGUUGUAUGGGUGCAGAUGUAGCUAUGUGGUUAAGAAUUUUGCUUUGUAACCAUGUAGUUUUGCAUUCCAUCCUACUGCUUUUCAUAUGCAAGUGUCUUCUAUAGCUUCAUUCUGACCAGUGCCUCAUGAAUGAGGUUAGUAUAUAGGAACUGUGUAGAAGCCUGUUGUAUAUACAUAUGUGUGUGCCUGUUUUUAAGUUCCUUAACUUAAUGAUUCAACAACUGGAUUGAUAAGUGCCAGACUUAAAAGUAAAUACUAGGUUCAAUAUGAUUGGUUAAAACUAUUAGAGGCAGUGCCCCUGUAUGCCUGCUGUCUAGUGAGUGAAACAAGCAUUAAAAUAAAAGAAUAAAAGUCUUUUAAUAAAUUGCUGCAUGUUGAAGAGCAAAUACUCAUGUCACAAUCGUAGAGGUGAUCAUUAAUAAUGAAUAUCUGCCUCAAAGGAAUUACUUCUUUGAAGAUAACUACUAAAUAAAUUAUUUUAUUGAAGAAAAAUUCUUUCUUUUCAGUUUUUGGAUUUUUUUCACAAAAUCAUUUGGAUUUCAGCGACAAAUCUGGUCCCUGAAACUUAGCAGAAUCAUUCCUUUAUAUUUAACUAAAAUUAUUUUGUUGGCAAAAUGUCAUCCCAUUUCAGUUCCAUUUUACUAUUGGUUCUGAAACCAAACAUCACCUUUAAAACACACACAUACAGAAAGAGAGGAGGCGGGGGGCAGCAAAAAAUAAAAAAUUUUGUUGGUCACUUUCAGCUUUUAAAAAAGCUUUUUGGUAGGGAAUAUCCAUUUCAGAAUAUUGUAAUCUCAUGCUUAAAAUGAAGAAUUAAUGGAAGGUAGACUAGUCUAUCAUUAUUGUUAUAAAUCCUUGGAAGAAUGAAGCAUUAGUAGUUUUGCAAGAAUGAAGGAAAAAAAAUCAAAAAUUGAAUUUAUGAACUUUUUCUUUCCAUAAUUUCCUAGGCUUAAAACAGAAAUCUGAAGAAAUCAUCUUAAAAAUUUUGAAGGGUUGGAGCACUUACUCUGAAACUGCCAAAUUUCUGAUCCUGAAUGUCUGAUAUUGAAAACAUGAAAAUCUGAAGACUUUUUUUUAAAAAGUGAUAAAGUGGUUUUUAAAAUCCAUACUUAAACAAAUAAGUACCCAAAUGAGUUUUCACAGUCCAACAAUAAAUAAAAUGAUAUAAAAACAUGAUUAGACACAUUUUAGCUAAUUGUUCAUUUUUGUUUCAGUCUCAUUUUCUACUCGCCAAAUCUAUUUAAAACUUAAGUUCAAAUACUUCCCAUCAAAACCGAGGAAUCUUGUUUCAUUGCUGCCAUUUAGGUUUUCAAUGUAAUAAAUGUAUUGGUCAUCUUUGAUGUACUUGUUCCUCUAAAAGAAUAUCAUCUUCACUGCUUUCUAGUGCAUUUGUGAUGCAGAAUUUCUUAAAAGUCUUUACCAUGAGGGUUUCAGAGUUGGUUUGCCAGCUAAUGUACUUACAACAGGGAUCUCUUUGGCAAAUGCAGGCUGUUGGAGUGAUGUUCUUGUGCCCCUCUCCAGCCACUGCUUCCACUUCAUGCAAACCUGCAACUUAAAUGGCUUGUUAAUGCUGACAUUCAAUGGUUAUAGAAGACUGAUCAUUCCAUUGAGGAUGAUGGCAAGGUCAGUCUUUGUAGAUUAAAGUUACCAUUUCACAGAAAGUACUUGAUGGCAUCUGAAUGCAUCCAGCAUCAGUAAGGCUGGCCGUUUCAGCAGGCUGCCCUGAUGUCUCACUACACUGUUUUGAUCCUGUCACCCAUUGUUUCUGCAUCUAUUUUCAUGGACAUAAGCAUCUGUUCCUUUGGAAAAUGUCUACUUGAGUAAUGGUUUUCUUUUGGAGAAAACAUGCUGCAGCUGCUUUUUGCCAUCAUUAAUAUUGGCCAACAUCACUGUAAAAUGGUUCUUAUUACCAGUGAUGUUGGUAGUAACUAUCUUCUGGCCCUUGAAAUCAACUACCAAUGGAUAUGAAGAUGUCAAAGUUCAGAAGGGUUUGAUCAGUAUUUCCAGCUUGUGACAUGUCAUAACUGUAUGACUUUCUAUCAUUUGAAUUUGUGCUUUGGUUCAUUUAGAGUAUGUGAAUUUUUCCAAAGUAUUUUAUACAGUAAAUUCAAAAAAUUUGACUAAACACUUUUUACACAUAUCAUAAUACUAAAAAGCAAAGUCAUUUGCAUAUCAUACACGUGAGAUAAUUUUUUCUGGGAUUUUGUUGCUCAUAAUUAGCAUGAUACUUAUAGUAGGUAGCCAGCACUUAGAGGUGUUCCUGUGAAAAACAAAUGCAUACACACAUUAUAUAUAUGUUAGUGUGUAUGUAUGCAUACCGGUUUGUAUGUGUGUGUAUGCUGUAUUUGUGUAUGUGUGUGUGUGUCUCUCUCUGCAUAUGCAUAUCUGAAUGUAUAGGUUGGACAGGUUCUCCUCACUAUAGUUCCUUUCCACUUGUUACUUCCGUUAUCCCUUUCAAGAGCUUCAACCUCCUGAGAUUGGCUAUCACCAUUAUAUAUAUGUAUCAUCAUCAUCAUCAUCAUCAUCAUCAUCAUUUAGCGUCCGCUUUCUAUGCUAGCAUGGGUUGGACGGUUCAACUGGGGUCUGGGAGGCCAGAAGGCUGAACCAGGCCUAGUCUGAUCUGGCAAUGUUUCUACGGCUGGAUGCCCUUCCUAACGCCAACCACUCCGUGAGUGUAGUGGGUGCUUUUUAUGUGCCACCGGCACAGGUGCCAGACGGGGCUGGCAAACGGCCACGGUUGGAUGGUGCUUUUUACGUGGCACGGGUGCCAGGCGAGGCUGGCAACGGCCACGUUUGGAUGGUUUGCUUACGUGCCACCGGCACUGGUAUCACAGCUACAAUUUCCAUUGAUGUUGAUUGAUUUUGAUUUUGAUUCUGAUUCUCACUUGCCUCAACAGGUCUUCACAAGUAGAGUUAAUGGAAGAAUUAAUGGAAGGUAGACUAGUCUAUCAUUAUUGUUAUAAAUCCUUGGAAGAAUGAAGCAUUAGUAGUUUUGCAAGAAUGAAGGAAAAAAAAUCAAAAAUUGAAUUUGUGAACUUUUUCUUUCGAUAAUUUCCUAGGCUUAAAACAGAAAUCUGAAGAAAUCAUCUUAAAAAUUUUGAAGGGUUGGAGCACUUACUCUGAAACUGCCAAAUUUCUGAUCCUGAAUGUCUGAUAUUAAAAACAUAAAAAUCUGAAGACUUUUUUAAAAAAAUGAUAAAGUGGUUUUAUCUCCCAGGUAGAGGCCAUGGGUUAUGGUCUCACUUGUCCUGCCGCGUCUUCUCAUGCACAGCUUACUUCCAUAGGUCUUGGUCUCUAGUCAUUUCCUCGGUGAGACCUAAAGUUCAAAGGUCAUGCUUCACCACCUUGUCCCAGGUUUUCCUGGGUCUACCUCUUCCACAGGUUCUCUCAACCGCUAGGGUGUGGCACUUUUUCACACAACUAUCUUCAUCCAUUCUUGUCACAUGACCAUACCAGUGCAAACGUCUCUCUUGCACACCACAACUGAUGCCUCUUAGGUCCAACUUUUCUCUCGUAUAUAUAUAUGCUUGUGUAUGUGUCUUUGUGUCUGUUUUCUCCCUCCCCCCACUGCUUGACAUCUGGUGUUGGUGUAUUUACAUCUCUGUAAGUUAGGAAUUCAGUAAAAGAGACCAAUAGAAUAAGUAGCAAGUUUAAAAUACGUACUGAGCUUGAUUCAUUUGACUAAAAUUCUUCAAGGGGGUGCCCUAGCAUGGCUGCAGUCUAAUGACUGAAACAAGUAAAAGAUAAGAGACCUCCAGUAGAGCAAACUUGCCUCAUUCUUUUUUUUUUCCAGUUUUCCACAUCCUCUGCAUCAAUAUUCAUGGUUUCAUUAUCAUGCAAUAUUGCACUUAAUAAGGCCUAACUUUCAUUUGGGGAGAGAAUCCUUUUGUUGUUAAAAGAUACAACUUCCUAAAUUCUCCCCAUCAUGGUUACUGAGCUCUCAAAAUACCUGGCUCUACCACUCUUUAUGGUAUGCAGGUAAAAGAAACUGCCUUCCUAUCACUUGUAGGAAAUUUAUUCAUUUCAUUUAUGUUCUUAUUGUUGUUGACUAUUCUUGUGCAUCAACUGUAUGCAAAGUUCUGUUAUCCUGCCUGUGAUCCCACUACAUCUAUUGUGUAUCCAUAGAUGCACUGUGUGGAAUCCCAACCUGUCUCUUUUCUGAACAUUGAGCUGGACCAUUUCCCAAAUGAAGCAGAGUUUUGUAUUCUUUCUUGCUAACUAAAAACUUUGUCUUUAGAUUAGGAAGGAGAACCCAGGUUCAAAAUUUCCCCAAGACACCUGAUGAAGGCUGGAGGGUAAAUCAGCUGAAAUGUUGUGUUAACAACAAAUAAGAUGAGGACAAAUAUCUGUCAAAUGUAAAUAAUGUACAUAAUUCCUCAUCUCUUAAAUAUAGAACUAUAAUUCAUAUUGUUUCUUUAUAGAAUAUAUUUCACAGAAAAUAGUGUCCACAAUGAAGGAACAAAGGCAAAAUUGGUAGAUUUUCUUUUUCUGUCUAUUUGUUAAUUCAUUUAGAAAGUUAUUUCACUUGGAAUUAUAAGUAAAGAUAAACACUGAAAGUAGUACAUUUCUACAUUUCAUUGCUUAUUAUGUUAAACUGUCAUAUGUCCAAAUACGUUUUUUUCAUUGUUUAUUUUUUGUUUGCAAAUAGCUGGUUCUUUUGGUCAAAUUAUCGCAUCUCCAGAUGCUUUAGAUGCCAAGAUAUCAAAAAUUGUCAAAGUGUAGUACAACGGUUUUACUAUAGAAUGGUGAAACUAUCUUUUCAUUUUCUGAAAAAGCAACAUUUUGGACUUCUGGUACUUUUGCAUAAUAGCAACAUUUUGUAUUUCUAUAGCUUAGUCAAGAGAAAAGAGACAUUUGAAAACUUGAGACUGGUAAGAUUAAUAUGGUUUAUGUUUAACUUAAAUAUCUUUAAGUAUAUGGCUACAGGGUAAACAUAUAAAUAUAGAAAAGUGAGUAGAUAAUUUUAGAGUUUUGUUACUCUGAGAGAGGGAGGAGUAAAAGGAUUUAUAAAAUAUAUCCAAUUGUUAUAGAAUUACAUUAACAUAUUAUUUCAAAUUAAUAUUGUCUAUGCUGACAUGGGCUGAGAAUAUAUUUCCUUCUCUUUAUCUACCUCUAUUAUUUGUAACCAUGACAUCACUGCAAUUAUCAGUGACACAGAUCAAUUUUCAGUUGGUAUUUUACAUUCAUUUUCUGGUACAGAUUAGCUGAGUCUAGAUUUAGAGAUUUAUGUUGAAUCAGAAAUGUUGCAACUAGAUGGCAUUCCCAAAGGUCUACAAGUCCUACCUAUUUUCUAGUGACCAGAUGGUGUCUCACCUAUUUUCUAGUUAGACAAAAAAAAUUAUAGGGAAGAAAAGUAGGUGUUGAAAUUGAGGGUUUUACAUAAUUAAAAUAAUAAAUUAGAAACUUGAAGGGAAACUAAAAUAAACUUAAAAGGAAAACAGGAUAAUUUAGUGUAAUGAUAAAAACUGAGAUGACAAAUCAUCAAUAUAUAUCCUAUUAUUUUAUUUAAUGUUUGUCUAAUUACACAGAAUGAGAUGCAUUAUUUUGUAUGGAAAUGAACUAAUUUCAGGCAUUGAAACAUAAUAGAUGAAAAUAGCUGAUGUGUUUCAAUUUGAGCCUUCUUUGUGGCUCUGUUGUUUAUAUUUUGAAACUAAAAAAAGAAAAUUAUUUUGCAAACUAAUUGUGCAUGCAUGUGUGCAAGCGCACACACACUCUCUCUCUCCUCCCCUCUCUCAUUUACUCUAACACAUACAAAUACAAUUAGUUCUGUUGUUUUGUUGUGGUGAGAGUCAUUGACACCUCUGUGGGAUUGGAAGGAUGGACUAGUUGAACUCUUACGAAGAGUAAUCUAUUGGUUGAGAUGGGAUAAGUUGUAGGAGUUGUUGAGAGUUCACAGAAGUCGUAGGAAGUCUUUGAGAUUGUUAGGGUUUGUGUUUGGUGGAGUAAUUUGAAGUAUAUCAUGUGAAGACAGUUAUGUCUAUCCCCACUUUGUGAAAGUCUGUAUCUCCAAUGUAUAAAAGGAUAUAAAAAGUUAGCUUGAAUUUAUUUAUAAACAUUUAAACACAUAAAACAUCCUAAUAAGUCACUUCCUCUUCUAUUUAAUCACAUAAAUGUUUAAAAAGAUAUCCAAUUGUUUCAGUUGGUACAAACUGUGUGCCAGGUUGCUAACCAUCUUUAUUAACACAAGCAAUUGAGAUAGCUUCAUACAGAGUUCAUUUUGCCCAUAAACUUUACCAAAAUCUUUGGCCAACUUCUCAUUACAUGAUGGCAGGUGCAUUGUCCAAGAACUAAAUCUAGCAAUUUUUUCAAUGCAUUUGACUACCUUUUUGUGGGAGAUAGACUUGAGCAGAGCUGGUCAUAGUUAGUCUUCAAAUCUUAAAAUGCCUAAAGGUAAGAACAAUUUCUCUUAAUACUCAGUUAUGUAUAAAUAUUGAAGAAACAACACAAUUUUCUCUGCCUAAAUUCUCUCUUCAUAUAGUAAUUUUGCUAAUUAUUAGUUACAAUAAUUGAAUUUAUUUAUUUACUUUUGCAUAUACACCAUACAACUGAAUGCUUGUUGAUGUGAAAGAAUCUUAUCUUCAGAUUUAUCAUUAAAUUACAAACAAAUGUACAUUUAAUUUGUUAGAAUUGUAUGUAUCCCAAGUAUCAAUAGAUUAAUUAUAUUUUAGAUUUACCUGAGUGUUGAACAAGUUUCUGAAUUCUCAUCGAUAAUUUUUUGUUACAUGUUUAUUUUUAGUAUAUUGAGGACUGGUAUAGAAAUUAAGGCUUAGAGAAUUAAGGUCUUAUAAAGUUAAUGAACAUUUUGUUAGAUUUUAAUUCAUAAGAAUAUGAAAUGGUUCUCAGUUGAGUUCAAGGUCUUUUUCAAUAAGCAACGAUCUCUCUCCCUCAGAGUGAAAGGAAGAUUGAUGUAUGUGUGCAAACUACAAUGUUAUAUGGUAGUGAGAUGUGGGCCUUGAAUGUAGUGGUCAUGUGAAGACUAGAGAGGAAUAAAGCUAGUAUGCUCCACUGGAUGUACAUUGUAAGUGUAUAUGUGCAGCAGAGCAGUAGUGUAUUGAGAAAAAGUUAAUCAUAAGAGGGAUGAGUUGCAAUGUGCUGGUUUGAUCAUGUGAUGCAGAUGAAUAUGGACAGUUGUAUAAAGUGCUGAUCAUUUAAGGUGGAGGGAAAUCAUGGAAGAGAAAGACUUAGGAAGACAUGGGAUAAAGUAUUGAAGGCUGAUCUCUUAGCCCUGAGCCUUACAAAGGAGAUGACAAAGGACUGAGAUAUAUAAUGCAUUCCUGAACGCAAGAAGACCCACCCACCACAACAGAAUUGAUAUCCUAAAACCAAGGUACCAUGUAAAAAGCACUGUUGAUGGUACCACAUAAAAAGCACUGGUGAUGGUACCAUGUAAAGAGCACUCAUACACUCUGUAAAAUGGUUCAUAGAAGCCGUACUGAAAUAGACUAUGGAACCUGGUGUGACCCCUGGCCUUGCCAGCUCCUGUGAAGUUGCCCGUGGAAAAUGGAUGUUAAAUAAUAAUGAUAAUGUCAACAAUAAUGAUGAUGAAGCUAUAUAUCUUAUAAGCUUGGAUGUGACCCUAAAAGUUUUCAUCAUUUAUUCCAGAUUGGAGCAUCUAGAAUAAUUAAUUUAUUUAAUUGUUUAAUUUUUACAGAUGUUUGACAACUUUCCUAUUUUCCAAUCACUUAUAUAAUCUAUCAGUUUUCUCAUACUUUUCUGUUUCAAGGUUGUUGUGUAAAUUUUUUUCUUUAGUAAACUAUGUACUUUAUUAGAAUUGCCUUAUUCUACUGGUCAAAAGUAAAGAGUAAAGACUGAUGGUGAUUACUUACUAUACUGAAAUAGAUAUAAUUGAUUCCAGUAAUAACUUUUUUGUCUUUAGAUGGAAUCAUAGACAUAGGUUCAUGUGCAAAACAAAGAAGCUCUAAGUGGAGUAAUGGUAUCAAUUUUAAAGUAUAUACAUAUGCAUAGGUUGUAGGUGAUUAUCCUAGGUGUCUGAAUAUCAGAUGUUCCAACAAACAGUAGUUUUAAAGUUGUUAUAUAAAACUAUUCCUUUUAGCACCUCAUAGUUUAUCAUUUAAACAUGGUCUUAGCUAUUGAAAUUUUUGGAAGUUUAAUUAUAACUAUUUUAUAUUAAGUGAAGUGUUUUUGAUUGUAUUAGAUAUUCACCAACAAAGCAUAUAAUAGGGAUAUGUCUGAGACAUGUAUACAAGCUUUUGAAAAUAUACAUACAUUUUGCAUGGGCAAUGUCAGGGGUUUUGUUACUGUUGGCAUCAGCUUAGCACCAACUAAGUGUACUUGACUUUUUAUAAUAGAGAUAAAGCCUUCAACAGGAUAGUUUAUCAGCAAUAAUUUUAUGGCCUUGUCAAAUUAAAAGCUUUUAAAUCAAUAUAUGAAAAAAAAUGGUGUAAUCAGGAUUAUUAUCUAUUUAACUAAAGCAUUAUAUGUCUAAACAGAUUUUAUUUAUUUUCAUCCUGAUAAUCAAAUCCUUCACACUUAAAUUUAGGCCUAAAACCUUUUGAAUACUUAUUUUAUUUAUAGUGUUAUUCACUACAGAAUGAAUGGAAAAAAGAGGAAAAUACUUGAUAACCAAAAAGAUCACUAAUGCAUGAUAGAAGUAAAUGGCUUGGAAAAAAAAUAGAAACUCAUUCUCCAUUACAUUUAAUUUACAAAAGUUAAUGAUAAUGCUGUUGAAAAUGAUAUUCAUUUGAAACACAAAUAGAGUCACUACAUGCAAGAUAUGGCAUCUUUUUAUAUCUACAGUAUCUGUUUUAUUUCUGAGGGUGUAUAAUUUUGUUGUUGUAUGGAAAGAUUGUGUGUGAGUGUAUGUGUGUUCUGUUAAAGAAAUAUCUAAUGACCCAACUUGGCAAUUUUGAAAGAUUAAGUUCCCAGAAAAUUCUGAUGGUGUUGUGUUGAAAAAUUGCAAUCUUUUGAUAAACUUUUCUGCACCACUGCAAAUAUAUAUAUAUAUAUAUAUAUAUAUAUAUACAUAUACACACACACACAUACACUACUUGGCACUUGUCAUUCGACUUUACAUGACUUGAGAUGAUCCAAGUUGUCCUGUUCCGUUGUGCCUAGUCUGUGGCAUAACUUCGAAAUAUAUCAAUGGCCCCAGUAAAAUUGAAACUGCACUUCACAACAAAUCUCAAUCAUAUGAAAAAAACCCAAUAAAAACCGAAAGUACUGUUUAUUUUAAAAAGCUAUUAGAAUCUCAAAAUAAACAUAGAACAACCUUUUGGAUUCAAAUCAGUGACAGUGGCCCAAGAGUUCAGUUUUAUUUAUUUGGUUGCAGAAAUUAUUACCCUGAAAAAGAAGUUACACAGCAUGUGGGUUAAAUGCUGGGACAAGAUGCAAUGCAAGAAAUUGAGAAUGUUUUACUUUCAAACAAUACAAUAAUUUAAUGUAUUGAUGACAUGUCACAUGUUGCUGAAGAGGUUUUAUAUAAUUAGCUGAAACAUAGUUUUUCUAUUUAGGAUGAUGAGUCAUCAGAUCUUAUCAAUAUCACAUUGUAGUUUUUGUAAGAUCUGUCAAUGUGAAUGAAAUUUAAGAAAACUUCCUGUUAGUUGCAAGAUGAUUAAUUGUUUGAGAUAAGCAAAGUAAUUUAGUUCAUAUUUUGUCAUUAUCUCUGGAAACAAGAACCUGGAAGAACUGUAUUGGUAUCUGUUCUGAUGUAUCUCAUAAGAGGUUUUCUUUCUCUUGAAAAAUAAUAAAAUGCAAAUAUUUUCUCAACUCUUUGUAUUCUUCACAGAGAGAUACUGUUUUCAAAACCUUUUGGAGGUGAAUUGAAAUCUGUUUUUGAUGCUGCUAUAAAUAUAAUCAACUUUAUUAAAGUCUAGUUCACUCCAGAAUGUUUAAGCAUUCAGAGUGAUUUAUCAAAUGUAGUAAUUAUUUAUCCACAUAUUCUAAAAUUAAUCAUCUAUAAUUUUGUAGCUUCAAGAUUUUGAAGAUUUGAUUGUUUUUUUUUAGGCUUACACUAUAGGGUAAGUGUGAAUAGUUGGAUCUGGCCAGCUUCAGUGUAAAACAGGUAGAAUAUUUGGGCUGGAUAUGGCUGGUUUAAAUGCUAAAGAGUUAAAAAACUGUGAAAACUUGCUACUUUACAGAAAUCUAGUGGUUGGAGAGAGGAAGAGUCCUAAAUAGGGUGCUUGAACUAAGAGAAGAAACAAUAAACUAGAAUUUACUAAGUGCUUUGAAGAUGAAAAAUGGUUGCUGAAAUUAAUCUACUUGGUGGAGCACUUUUCAUUGCAUGAAUUAGCGAAACAAAUCAAGGCAAGACCUUGGAGAAAAUAUUAAUUUCACAUAAUAAGAGUUUUGGAGUUAGAAGUCUGAAUCGUUUUGAUACAAAAAGAAAUUUUGAAAUGUUUCAACUGGGGCUUAAGAGUAAAGAAUGAUAGCAAAUUUCUAAUUUUAUCAAAACCCAUUUGAAGGAACUGUGCGCAUCUGAGAACUUGAUUUUAACAAGUUUUGGAUUUCUGUGAAGUGUAUCCUGCCAUUUAUAAGAAAGCAAUAAAAAUAUUGCUGCAGUUUUCAACUUUGUACAUGUAUAAGCAAGCUUUUUCUUAACACAUAUUAAAAACAAAUACAAGAAUUGGCUCCCUUCUGUUAAUGGUGAAAUCUGUGUGUUUAUCAAGUUUGAUAUGAAAAGACAAGCACAGGUUUCUCAAUGGAGAAGCAAAUUUCCUUAUCUAAAUUGGUUUGAAAAAUAGUAGUGCUUUCACCCUUAUGACAUUGCAUUGACUUAUACCUUUUCAACAUUGUCAAUAAAGGAUUAAGUUAUUUCAAGUAGUUAUUAUCUAUUUCUAUUCUGUUUAUAUAUAUUGUAUAGGAUCUUUUAUUCUUUUACCUGUUUCAGUCACUUGACUGUAGCCUUGUCUUGAAGGGUUUUAGUCAAACAUAUUGGCCCCAGGGUUUUUUUUAAAGCCUAGUACUUAUUCUAUUGGUCUCUUUUUCUGAACUGCUCAAGUUAUGAGGAUGUAAACACACCAACACCAGUUGUCAAGUGGUGGUGACACACACACACACACACACACACACACAUAUGAUGGGUUUCUUUCAGUUUCCCUCUACCAAAUCCACUCAUAAGGCUGUAGUAGAACACACUUGCCCAAGUUACUACUGAACCUGGAACCAUUCAGAAGCAACCUUCUGAAUACAGAUAUAUUUGAUAUUUUUACCCUUAUGAAGUCUCUUGAACAAGCAAUUUGAUUUCAGUUAUUUUUUGUUCAAGCCACUUUAUCAGGAAAAUCUUUUGUUUUCCUUAGGAAAUUCAACUUUAUGAAAAUGAAAGACAAAGAUUUAUAAACACAUAUAUUGAAUUAUUAUAAAAGUACCCUGAGAUCUGCAAUACAUUUCAAGGAUUCCCCAUAGGAAUGUGCUGUGUCAUGCUGGCUUGCUCUUGUCAGAGAUCAUGAAAGUAAAUGCUAAUUCAUUCUCUGAAUGAGCCAACUAUCUGCUAUAUUGAUGUUUUAUGUGAGUAUCUUUCUUACAUUAGAACAAUAAUUUGGAUUUAAGAGAAAAAUGGUGACUUAUAACAGACAUAUCAUAUAAUUUGACACAGCCAGUUCAUGUGCAUCAUAAAUCAGCAUUCAUAUUUGGGUGUAUAUACUUAUCUUUGUAUUAUGUAUGUGUGUGUGUAUCUAUUGGGCUGGAAACAAAGUAAUUUCGUUUUUCACAAACAGAUAGUUACAAUUUUUUUGAAUGACUUUUGUCUAUGUUAUUGGUUUUUUUUUCCUUCUGACAUUUGAUAGCUGUUACUUUUAGCUUACUUUAGAAGCAAAUUGCAAGUAAUUUUGUUUACAGAUGUUAGUUCAAUGUCAAUUUUAAGAUGGAGUGCAAAAACAAACAUUUUUGACAUAUUUUGCUUUUUUAUUUCUGUAAAGGCAAGAAAGAUGCUGAGGCUCCCAAAGAAAUAUGUGAAGUUUAUGAUGUUGAUUGCUUAACAGAAUGUGCAUGUCAGAAAUGGUUUAAAAACUUCUGUUCUGGAGAUUUUCCACUCAAAGAUGACUAGUAGGCUGACGCCUACUGAAGAUGAUGAUGACUGAAUCAAAGCCGUAAUUGAAUCUGAUUGUCAUAACUGUGUAAGAGAUUACAGAGAGGUUAAAUGUAUCACACACAACAAUUGAAAAUCACUUAAAAUGUCUUGGACUCAUUAAGAAGCUUGAUAUUUGGGUUCCACAUAACUUGAAAAAGAUUCACUUAACACAACGAAUCAAUAUUUGCGAUAUGCAUCUCAGAUGCAAUGAAAUCAAUCUUCUUUUGAAAUGAAUCAUCACUGGUGAUGAAAAAUGGAUUAUCUACAAUAACACCAAUUGGAAACAAUCAUGGUCUAAGCGUAAUGAACCAGCACAAACCACAUUGAAAUCUGAAUUGCAUCAAAAAAGGGUAAUGCUGUUAAUUUGGUGAGAAUACAAAAGUAUUGUGUAUUUUGAGCUGUUUCCAAGGAACCAAAUGAUCAAUUCAGAUGUUUACUGUCAACAACUAAUGAAACUGGAGGAAGCAAUCAAAGAAAAAUGUCCAGAAUUGGCAAAUCAUAAAGGAAUUGUGUUCCAUUAUGACAAUGCUAAACCACACACAUCUUUGCUAACUCAGGUAAACUUACUGGUGCUUGGUUAGGAAGUGAUGUCAUAUUCACCAUAUAGCCCAGACCUUGCACCAUCAGAUUACCAUUUAUUUCAAAGUUUGCAAAAUUCUUUAAAUGGUAAGACUUUCAUUAGUAAUGGUGACCUGAAAUUGCACUUGCUUCAGUUUUUGGCAGAUAAGGACCAGAAGCUCUAUGAGCAUGGAAUCAUGAAGUUGCCAAAAAGAUGGCUAAAGGUCAUUGAACAAAAUGGAAAAUAUAUAAUUGAAUAAAGUUCAUUCCUUGUGUGAAAAAGAAGGACUUUUAUUUCACACUAAAAACCUGAAAUUACUUUCUUGCAGACCCAGUAUAUAUAUGUGCGUGUGUGUAUUUGUCUAUGUUUA
rnacentral:lncRNA from 1 species